AUUGAACGCUGGCGGCAUGCCUUACACAUGCAAGUCGAACGGUAACAGGUUAAGCUGACGAGUGGCGAACGGGUGAGUAAUGUAUCGGAACGUGCCCAGUCGUGGGGGAUAACUGCUCGAAAGAGCAGCUAAUACCGCAUACGACCUGAGGGAGAAAGCGGGGGAUCGCAAGACCUCGCGCGAUUGGAGCGGCCGAUAUCAGAUUAGGUAGUUGGUGAGGUAAAGGCUCACCAAGCCGACGAUCUGUAGCUGGUCUGAGAGGACGACCAGCCACACUGGGACUGAGACACGGCCCAGACUCCUACGGGAGGCAGCAGUGGGGAAUUUUGGACAAUGGGCGCAAGCCUGAUCCAGCCAUGCCGCGUGCGGGAAGAAGGCCUUCGGGUUGUAAACCGCUUUUGUCAGGGAAGAAAAGGUUCUGGCUAAUACCUGGGACUCAUGACGGUACCUGAAAAAUAAGCACCGGCUAACUACGUG
rnacentral:rRNA from 1 species